GAUGAACGCUAGCGGCAGGCCUAACACAUGCAAGUCGAGGGGUAGAAGGAGCUUGCUCCUUUGAGACCGGCGCACGGGUGCGUAACGCGUAUGCAAUCUACCUUGUACAGGGGAAUAGCCCAGAGAAAUUUGGAUUAAUGCCCCAUAGUAUAUAACCUUCGCAUGUUGGUUAUAUUAAAGUUCCAACGGUACAAGAUGAGCAUGCGUCCCAUUAGUUAGUUGGUAAGGUAACGGCUUACCAAGACGAUGAUGGGUAGGGGUCCUGAGAGGGAGAUCCCCCACACUGGUACUGAGACACGGACCAGACUCCUACGGGAGGCAGCAGUGAGGAAUAUUGGUCAAUGGUCGCAAGACUGAACCAGCCAUGCCGCGUGCAGGAAGACGGUCCUAUGGAUUGUAAACUGCUUUUAUACAGGAAGAAACCCUCCCACGUGUGGGAGCUUGACGGUACUGUAGGAAUAAGGAUCGGCUAACUCCGUGCCAGCAGCCGCGGUAAAAGUCACG
rnacentral:rRNA from 1 species